ensembl:lncRNA
ACCAGGAAUCUAUUUCUGGGGGAGCCAUGCUGAUGGAGGAGCCGUGCUGAAGGAGCUGCUGGAGGAGUCGUGCUGAGGGCCUGCCUGCUGGUGGAGAAGUCGUGCUGAGGGCCUGCCUGCUGGAGGAGCUGGUGGAGGAGUCGUGCUGAGGGCCUGCCUGGUGGAGGAGCUGGUGGAGGCCCUGCCUGGUGAAGGACGUCUGUCGUGGGACCAGGAAUCUGUCUGAGGAGAGCUGCUGGAUUCCUCAACGUGUUUCUGGAGCGGAGGCGAGCUGGUAGGGGAGCCUUGAAUCUGGAGGAUGACCAUCACUCUACCAACAAGGAUUACGUUGGGGCCAGACUCGCGCUGUUUGUUCCAGACCAGGACUCGGGCUGAGGAGAGCUGAUGGAGGAGCCAAGACUCUGGAGGACGACAUCACUCCACCAACCAGGAUCCUCACCAGGAAUCUGGAGGACUGAUGGAGAAGCCGUACAUCUGGAAGGCAAAUCCUGAGGACGACCAGGUCUCUACCAUCAAGGAUUCCUCACACGCCUGAGCUGAACCUCACCUGAUCCUGUUUGGUUGGGGGUAGAUACACCUGAGCUGAACCCGCCCUGAUCCUGACAGCCUGCUGGUCCCGUCUCCUCAGUUCAUCUGCGCCUCGUCCUCCAGAAGACCUGCUGAGCUCAGCAGUCUGAGGCUGAUGGAUCAAUGACCUCCAGUGGGAGUGAUCUUCUUGACCCCACAUGUAACCGUGUGCUUCCACACGCCUUUCCCUCACGUCUGUCACUAACCUCACUACUUCACUACUCUCUACUGCUUCCUCUUCUUCUUCCUUCUCUGUUGUUCGAACCUUUACACUGAAGGCGCGUCUUCCUGCCCUCAGAGGGUUCAGCGUUAGGGUUGAGAGUCAGGGUUUAGAGUCAGGGACAGAGCUGGUCAGGGAGGACUGUUUUUACACAAACCUCUUCACUUCCUUUCGGAAUGGUGGUGACAUUUUGAAAAGAUUCAUUUGGGAAAAUGUUUUCCUCUGCUUUCCUUUACAAAAUUGUAAUAAACUUC